rnacentral:rRNA from 1 species
GCGCAGCAGUCGCGAAUUUUUCACAAUGGGGGAAACCCUGAUGGAGCGACGCCGCGUGGAGGAUGAAGGCCUUUUGGUCGUAAACUCCUGUCAAACGGGAACAAGAAAGUGAUAGUACCGUUAGAGGAAGAGACGGCUAACUCUGUGCCAGCAGCCGCGGUGAUACAGAGGUCUCAAGCGUUGUUCGGAUUCAUUGGGCGUAAAGGGUGCGUAGGUGGCAUGGUAAGUUGAAGGUGAAAUCUCGGAGCUUAACUCCGAAACUGCCUUCAAUACUGCUGUGCUUGAGGACUGUAGAGGAGAAUGGAAUUCAUGGUGUAGCAGUGAAAUGCGUAGAUAUCAUGAGGAAGACCAGUGGCGAAGGCGAUUCUCUGGGCAGUUCCUGACACUGAGGCACGAAGGCUAGGGGAGCAAACGGGAUUAGAUACCCCCG